rnacentral:tRNA from 1 species
AUAAUUUUAUGUUAUAUAAACUAUUAACCUUCAAAGUUAAAAAUAUUUAAAUAUAUUAAAUAAAUUAUA